UAAUAAUCUACGGCAACUUUAAUUCCAACGCAACGUUUCAUUCUUUUCCCUUCUACAUCAUUAAUUUAAGCCUUUCUGCAUCAUAUGUCAUCGCAUAAUAGUGAACAUUACUAUUCAUUUUAUAAUAAUUGUACUGAUUAUACUGAAGUCUGUCCAUCGAUUUUCAUUGCUUAUAAAGUGUAUGUUAUUGUUUUACAUAUUUAAUCUUACACCAUCUGGCACAUUCAACACUC
rnacentral:lncRNA from 1 species